AGACUGGGUCGCCAUGGCACUGAUGAGGUCCACAAUGGGCUUAGAAUCAUAGCGCUGCCGCAGGUCUCGGGGCUGGUAGUAGCGCUGCCUGCAAACCAGCACCAAGGCUGCAAACGAAGCCAGAAAGAUGGUGGCCAGCACACCUAUGGCAACUAUCACCACGGUCUCCAUGCUUCCGGGGAGCUCCUGACUCAGUCCCGUUCACAUCGUCCUCAUGGGCUAAGGCUGCUGGAAGUGGCAAACUGGGGGAAGAGGAUGGCAGGAGCUAGGUUCCUCCACGACACCUCCAGAGACCUGAGGGCCUCAAGCUGCAGCUCCGGGGCACAUCCCGCUGCGCUCCCACGACGGCCCCGCGGAUGGCAAAGUCAGCGGCAUCGCCUAUGCAGGCAAUCAAAGGAUGUUGAUGGAUAAGUGUUUCAGGCAGAAUAAUGGCCCUCAAAGAUGUUGACACCAGAAUCUUCAGAACCUUUGCAUAUGUUACCUAACAUGACAAAAGGGACUUUGCUGAUGUGAUUAAGGUUAAGAACUUUGAGAAGGGAAGAUUAUCCUGGAUUAUACAGGUCGACGUUUAUUUCUUUCUGAACUUUCCUGGAGGAUCAUCGGCCAUACUCCAGCAGAAGGGUGGAUUUGAAAAAAUAACAAUUUGACUUGGGGAAGAAGAAGAAAAGAAGGUGGAUUUCAGCAUGAAAGAAUCUAAACAGUCAUUAGUGAACAAAUGUGUAGCAGUGCUGUCCAACAGAACUUUCUGAAGAAGUAAUGGGAAUACUCUGUAUCUGUGAUGUCCUGUAUGGUAGCCACUGGCCUCACACAGCUCUUGAGCACUUGAAAUGUGGCUACUGUGACUGAGUAAUUGAGUUUUAAAAUUUCAUCAAUUUUAAUUAAUUGAAAUUUAAAUAGCCACAUGAGGCCAGUGACUACAGAAUUGAACAGCACAGGUCUCACAGAUGGACUAAGAGUAAGCCAGUUACGAAGAAGCUUAUACAGGAAGACCGGCUAAAAUAUGUCAAAGGAGAGUUUCUCUUUCUGAACUCCGAGGAGCUGUUCAAAUAAGACUGGUCUGGAGAGAGUUUUGGGUGGCUGGAGGUAUUUUCACCCCUCCACUUACUGUGCCUAACCUUAGUAUUGUUGCCAUUCUCACGUUUCUGUAUGACUCCAUCUCCCUUGUUCUGUUCCGAUGCCGCUUUUUCAGUUUUUCUGAGCUCUCAAUUAAACACAGUGAAA
rnacentral:lncRNA from 1 species